rnacentral:lncRNA from 1 species
AACACGAUUACUGGUCCACCUAGAAAUGCCGUGGAGCGAUUUAAGAGCCUCGGAAAUUUCCUUUAAGGUCAGGAGAGAAGCUGGUAACAGAUGGGGCGAAGGAGGAAAAGUUCUUUUUGCGGCACCCUCACGCCUUCCCAGCCCUUUCGCGGUUUACUCGCUCCCCGGAAAGCAGGGCAUUCAAGCAGCCCUGAGGAGAGGUCCACAUGGUGAGCCACUGAGGGCCUUGCCAAGAGCCAGCACCAACGGUCCAGGUUUGGAGUGUACCACCUUGGAAGUGAAUCUUCCAGUCCAGUCAAGCCUUCAGAUGACUUCAGAACCGUCCAUGUAAGCCACUCUUGGAUUCCUGACCCACAGAAACUGUUGGAGUAAGUGAUGUUUCUGAAGCACCAAUGAAAAUGAAGUCCUGAAGUCCUGUGCUCAAUAUGAAAUGUUGGAAGUUAGAAGAAAAAAACAAAACUUGGAUCCAAUCUCAAGGCACUUUUUGUUUAAUGGGAAGAAGUGGAUUAUUUUAAAAGCUACAAAUAAAGUUACAUAAAAGUAGCAA